rnacentral:tRNA from 7 species
UGGCGUAUAGCUCAAUUGGUAGAGCACUUGGCUGUUAACCAAGGGGUUUCCAGUUCAAGCCUGGGUAUGCCAG